UUUUGCACAGUGCUGUGGCCAAGCAAGCUGAGCUGGCAUCCCUCCUUUUCACUUGCUGUGGGCAACAGACCAUGCAGAAACCCUCUCUCCCUUUCAGGCUGUCUAUGUGGUGCCCAAAAAGCUGUGAUGUAGGGUCUUGCACCACAGAGGGUUAAAGUGCUGUAGCUUUUGAGGCAGUCCUGUGUUCAUCCUUCUCUGUGGGCUGCAGUGGUUCUCAUUAGAAGCAAUUAAUCUCCAGUGCUGUGCUCUCCUGUCAGCUCGUGCCGCUGUCAUGGGUCAACUCAUCCAUAAGGAAGCAGCUGGGCAUCCCACGCUGACCUCAGCAUCUCCUCUGAUGUCUCACUUUGCUCUCAUCCCUCACAGGUGGUUUGGGUAAAUAUGUGCAGGGACAUAAUACGUUAAUGACACUCACAGCUAUAAGCCUCACAAAUGAGGGAAACCUGGACAGCUUCUGCUGGUGCUGCAAAUUAGAAUUUGAGACUGGAUUAGAAGCAAUUUGAGAGAUGUGAGCCAUUCCCCUGUGCCUGGGAGCUCUGCAAUCACUCUGUAAGAGGGAAAAAGAGGAAGCAGUGCACUGGUUUGGGAAGUGUUCUCUGAUAGGUCUGUUCUUUAACAUUAGUGCCAGCUGUGGAUGAUGUGAAAUAUUGCCAUAUCUCUCCAGAGACCUCUCCUCAUGGCCAAACGUCACCCAUCUUUGGCACCCCUAUCACCAUAGAAGUUACUACUCAGCCAGGUCAGAGGUGUUUUCAACACCCUCCUGCUGCAUGAGUUACACUGCGGCUUUUGUACAAAAAGCCUUAUUUUCUAUUCAGGGCUCUGCUGGUGUAAAGCAGCUUGACCUAAGGGCUUCACUGCUAGUUUUACAGGUGGCACUGUCUGUCCAAGCAAUUCCCAGCACAGAGGCUCGCAGCAAAGCAGCUGCCAGUAGCCAGCCAAGGACUACAGCAGGACUCGGCUUAAUUUUUUUUCUCUCUUCUAGUGACUGACCAUCUGUAAUGCAAAUCACAAAUGUCACCUGAGACAUCACACUUAUUUCUACAACAGGUCUUAAUUCUCCUGAAUACCACAAGAAACCCUCCAUAAAAUGUAGGAGGUGAGGAAAGCCUCUUUUGGGAAAAUCUACUUGCCCUGGAACAAAAUAUUUGAUGCAAAACCACAUGUCUUUAUUUAACCUGCUUCACCAGAGACCCAGGGAAUUGUGAUAUCCACUGUUUGACUUGCCAGCCAUGAAUUCAAUUUUCAGUUUCUCAUUUCCACCAAACAAAAUUGGGGUUUUUUAGAGCCUAUGUUCACUCAGCUUGUAACCCAUCAAAGAACAAGUGCAUUAGAUGUAAAGGCUACAGCAACUCAAGUAUUAGGACCCUGUCGUAUGACAAAGUAACUUUGCUAGCAUUAGAAUCUGGCUGAAGGUGACCUGUGGCCAUAGGAACUUCCACCUCAGAGAACCUGAGGGAGGUGACUCGGUAGCUUCUGGCAUAACUGUGCCCUGUGUAAGAGCUAGGAGUGGUAACCCUUAGACUGGCACCUACACAACCCCUGUUUGUCCUACAUCCUAUGUUAUUUCUUUGUCCACACAACUGUAUGCUGGUUGCCCAGUCUCUUUUUAAGUUUUGAUGCAUUUCAAGUGCACUUUUGAGAGAAUUUCACCCAGAAUUAAUCAAUGCCAUGUUAAUGAAAUACACUGCUGCUGUGCCACGCCGCCCUGCCACGCUCCCAGCACCAGCUCUGCUCCUGCUGCUGUUUCUGAGCCGAGCAGGAAGAGCACAUAUGCCACCGUGUCUCCUUGUCAAAGGCAGAAAAACAUCCUCACGUAUAAAACUAUUUUGACUUGUAGCUGAUUUGCUAAACACGUUCAAGCACUGAACACUUAUUAAUAAGUGUCCCUGCAGAGUGCAGGCAGCACCCACGGCUCAGGAGGAAGUGUCAGGGAAAGGUUUUGGCAGCGUUCCCUUCCUUGCCUGCACUGGGAGCUGGCUCUGGGCAGCUGGCACGGCAGGAGGGAUGGCAGACAAGGCAGAGAGGCUCUGUGCCCAAGCUGCCGUGUCCUGCCUCGCUGGUCAUUCCCUGGAGGAUGCUCCUCCCUGGGCCCAGCCAUGCCGCUGCCCCCUCCUCAUGCUGCCAGAGCCGCGCACUCUGCACGGAGCCAGUGCCCAUCCCCGCACAUCCCCACGGGCUGUAGGCAGAGAAGGAAUCUUCCGACGGUGAGGAGGAGUUCAGACCCUUGUCCUUGUCGGGGAGAGGCUGCAGAAGGAGGCAGAAUUUGGCCCUCUGGGUCCUGGCACGGGAGGGGCAGGAAAGCCAUGGAAGUAGUUCCAUCAGGCACUGGAGGGAAAUGGAUGCAAAGGAGACUAAAAGAACCAGCAGAGGAGACAAACACCAGGCAAUAAUAGUUUGCAAGUGAAAAAGGCCUCUGAGGGAUCACACAAAAAUGGGAGUAGAUCUGCAUGAAGAACUCUCUUUACCAGAGGGAAAACAGAUGCUUUCCAUCCAGACUAACCAGGGAAGAAGUUUCACCCAGGGGAUGCAUCUGUUUAAAGAUAGUUUAAAUGUAAUCAAAUUGGUCAAGUUUGAGGACCAGCAGAGCUCUGCCGUGAGGGACAAAGCAAAGGGACUGAACAAAAAUAAUAAAUCUGUGUUUA